GGUCAAUGGCCUAACGGCUGAACCAGCAACUUGGGGGAAUGGAUAUAUAUAUUAGAGAUAAUAUAUAUAGUACCGACUCUGUCGGAUAAAGUUCUAGAUAGAAUAAUGAUAAUGACAAUUUUCUAUCUAUAUGUCUUGACCAAAUCUUGUGCCAGCAGUCGCGGCAACACAAGGGAGACUAGUGUUAUUCAUCUUUAUUAGGUUUAAAGGGUACCUAGACGGUAUAUCAAGCCCCAAAAGGGUACGGAUAUACUAGAGUUUUAUGUGAGAGGCAAAUAUAGUACUAUUGGUGUAGAGAUAAAAUUUUUUGAUACCUCUAGGCACGGGUAACGGCGAAGGCAAUCCUCUAUGUAAAAACUGACGUUGAGGGACGAAGGCUUGGGUAGCGAAUAGGAUUAGAGACCCUAGUAGUCCAGGCAGAUAAUUAUGAAUGUCAUAGAUUAGAAAUACUUUUUGAUCUAUAAAUGAAAGUGUAAGCAUUCCACCUCAAGAGUAAUGUGGCAACGCAGGAACUGAAAUCAUUAGACCGUUUCUGAAACCAGUAGUGAAGUAUGUUAUUUAAUUCGAUGAUCCUCGAAAAACCUUACCACAGUUUGAAUGUUAAUUAAUAAGUUAACACAGGCGUUGCAUGGCUGUCUUCAGUUAAUGUCGUGAGAUUUGGUUAGAUCCAAAAAAUUAACGUAAACCCUUGUUCUUUAUUUAUUUGAAUAAUGCAGUUAACCGCUAUAUUGGAUUAUAUAAC
rnacentral:rRNA from 1 species